rnacentral:rRNA from 1 species
UACAGAGGAGCCAAGCGUUGUCCGGAUUGACUGGGCGUAAAGCGCACGCAGGCGGAUGCGCGCGUGGGGUGUGAAAUCUGGCCGCUUAACGGCCAGGCGCCAUCCCAUACGGCACAUCUGGAGGGCUGCAGAGGUCGAUGGAAUUGCCGGUGUAGUGGUGAAAUGCGUAGAUAUCGGGAGGAACACCAGUGGCGAAAGCGCCUUGCUGGUAUGCUACUGACGCUGAGGAACGAAAGCCAGGGGAGCAAAAGGG